UAUUUCUUUUCUAAAAAAUUUGGAGCAGUAGCGUGGCGAAGAAAAAGUUUUAAAUGAUGACGUCAGAGCAAAGCCAACUAAAGGUUUUAUUUUUUAAAGUGAAGAAGAGUUAAUAAAACAGUCGGAUGCAAGCGCAAACAAUGGAUUAAAAAUUUGAAAAACACGUGGCCAGAGAGAGAGAGAGAACCGGCAUUGCCCUCCAUAGCUCUACCGUAUAAUGACGCCGCCAUUUUAUGAAGUAGUCUGGAAUGUGUGAUUGAGCAUUUUGCUGGUAACUCGUGGAUCUACUUCAAAAUAAAGUUCUCUCACUAUGUGAAUUCUUUCUGAUGGAUAGAAAACGGACAGAAACCAAUCGCUUUCAGACAAGUUUUGACAUGACAUUCUGAUAACUAUGCUUAAAUGAUCUUAUCCAGCCAAUCAAGAUUAGCCGUUUAUGGUUGAAUGACUGUUUAUCGUCGUGUUUAUAUCAUCAGUUAACUAAGAUCAAGUCCUGCAGUUGUAAUUCGAUAUCAAAAACGUCUACAUAGAUGUGCAGCUGUAAGGUCUUUCUGGAAUGUUUCUAAAACGAUUUCAUUGCUCCAACUAUAAGAUUUCUCUUAAAAGUGGUCAGCCUGAUCUUUGUUAUUAAGCCUGCAGUUAUAAAGAAUGCUUUAAAACAUCGCAUUUAUAAUCUGAUUUUUGGCGGUUCUAUGUUGAUCGAAUCAAAAGGCUGUUCCCGGAAAUGUAUAAAUCUGAAACUAUUUUGACAAAUAAAAGCUUAUAGUAUCUAAA